UUCUCCGGUGCAGGAGGCCUUUUUCGCUGCACCGGUACGCAACAAUGAAAACCGGCCACGUGGAUUUCUUUGAUUUUUGUGGUGCGAAAGAUUAUGGCAAGAAAACAGAACCACGACACUUAAACCUCAUCAUUAACACUCCAAAAGUAACCAUGGUUACUUUGGAUUGAUUGUAUCGAGGCUUUCAAGAUUUGUUCAUCUUUCAAUUUUCCAAGUCACCGUCAAUAACAACCACCACCGCCUCCCUCUCCUCUACGAUCGCCGGCAGUCUUGAAGCACCGUUAACCGCUCUCCUCCCUACCACUGCACCGUCGUUUUCACAUCACUCACUUUCCCUCUUCUCUUUUCUUCUGGUUCGGAACCCUAAACUUUUUCCUCUUCUCUCGCUUUCAAUUUUUCUCUCUUCUAUUCAAAUUAGAACCCUAAAUCUCAUUUGUCCUCCAACAACAACAUCUCGUAUUGUAAACUGAGGCUUGCAUCGACAGUAUCUCUACAUCUCUGAGCAGAGUUGGUGGUGAUUGCAAAUUGAGAGUUGGCGAAGUCUAGGGUUGCAGCCAAGAACUAGGAGAUUCACCUCAUUUUCAUAUUUUACCUAAUACAAUUACUCAUUGAGUUGGUUUCACUACACUCCUUCCUUUAUACUCAUCAUUUAUGCAAUCUGUGUUAGUAUUUUAUAAUCAUUACUCAAACAAAAAAUAGAAUUACUCAUUGAGUUGGUUCAAUGUGAAAAUAAGGUAUGGCUGCACCAAAGUCAUCAGUUUAUGGCAUUGUAGGCGAGAGGUAAGAGUCGGCAAAGUUUAUUUUCAUUCAUAUAACAUUGAGCAUAUCGAUAUAUAGUGCUUAUAGUGCUUCCGUUCUGCAGAAACUUUUCACUGUAAGUAAAACUCUAUCUCGAUAAAUCAAAACUCGUUAAAAAUGAAGAGAUCGGUUUAAUUUUAUUGAAAAUUUUGAUCUUCAUUGAACUUGCCUAAAUGUAUAAAGUUCUUUUGGUGGAUAUAGGAGAUAAUUUCUACUGGUUUAUUCAUUCUGCAAAAUAAAGCAGUGGUAAAGUUUUAAUUUAGGUUCUACGCUUAAAACAGUUUUGUAAUGGGGUUGCAACAAGAUAUAUGACAUGUUGAUUUGGAAAACAUGAUCAACAUCAAAGAGGUGUAGCAAAUGGAAUUUGCAUAACUGCUAUGCAGCAUGCAAAGUAAUUGGCCCUGCAGCAGGUAGUGCAAUAACAAAUGAGAAAGGAGGCUAACAUUAAAGAUAAAUAUGAAAUCUCAUGACAAGGGUCAAAGCUUCUAAAUGAGCUGCCCCCUCAGUGAGCUGCAUUUCAAUGUUAAUCUUAUCAUAACAAAGCUUCUAAAUGAGCUACCCCCUCAGUGCUUGGUUCACUUGUUUAUUAAUCUAGCUGAAUGUCAUUGGCUUGGCAGGCUAUGAAGGUUGAUUCAACAAUAAUUCUCAUCAAUGAAGAUGGAAACUAGUGUCAAAACAAUUGGUGCUGUUGGAUUUUGGCAAGAGAACAAUGCUGCUGAACUGAAAAGGCCAUUGAAGCUCUUGAAAGUGUUGCAUAGUAAAUUUAGAAAAGUUCUCAGAAUUGACGCUGUUAUUCAUGUUGUUACAUAUAUAGAUUGCUGCAAGAGACCUCUGGAUGUAUUUAUAGUAUUAUUAAUUAUUUUAUGUCUCAUGUUGGGUACAAAUUGUAAUACCGCCACACACAUAUUGUAAGAAUUUGGACCUAUUUUUCUGUAUUACUAAUAUAUGCAAUUUGAUUUCUA